GACGAACGCUGGCGGCGUGCCUAAUACAUGCAAGUAGAACGCUGAAGGAGGAGCUUGCUUCUCUGGAUGAGUUGCGAACGGGUGAGUAACGCGUGGGUAACCUGCCUGGUAGCGGGGGAUAACUAUUGGAAACGAUAGCUAAUACCGCAUAAUAUUGACUAUUGCAUGAUAGUCAGUUGAAAGGUGCAACUGCACCACUACCAGAUGGACCUGCGUUGUAUUAGCUAGUUGGUGGGGUAACGGCUCACCAAGGCGACGAUACAUAGCCGACCUGAGAGGGUGAUCGGCCACACUGGGACUGAGACACGGCCCAGACUCCUACGGGAGGCAGCAGUAGGGAAUCUUCGGCAAUGGACGGAAGUCUGACCGAGCAACGCCGCGUGAGUGAAGAAGGUUUUCGGAUCGUAAAGCUCUGUUGUAAGAGAAGAACGAGUGUGAGAGUGGAAAGCUCACACUGUGACGGUAUCUUACCAGAAAGGGACGGCUAACUACGUG
rnacentral:rRNA from 1 species